rnacentral:rRNA from 1 species
GAAAGGCGCGCGCCCGGUUUCCCUAAACCACCUGUGAAACCCCGGGGUUAACCCUCGCACCGCCCCCGGGGCCCGGCCGGCAAACAAAUGGCCACGCGGGGGUAAAUUCCCCCCGCCGCCCCUGACACCGCAAGAAAGUGCGGGGGAACCCCCCGGGGGAGGCCACCCCCCCGGGCCCAACCUGAGGCUCAUGCCCGAAACCGUGGGGCCCCACCAGGACUAAAUACCCCGGUAGUCCCCCCCCUAACCACGUCAACCUAGUUUCCGGGUCUUAUGAACCUGGUACCAAACUAACGCGUGAAUUGCCCCCUGGGGAGUCCGUUCCAAGAUUAAACUCAAAGGAUUGACGGGGACCGCCACAAGCGGUGGAUGAUGUGGAAAAUUCGGAUCCACGCGAAAAACCUACCCUACCCUUGACAUGUACGGACCUUGCUGAGAGGUGAGGGUGCCCGAAAGGGAGCCGUAACACAGUUGCUCGAUGGCUGUCGUCAGCUCGUGUCGUGAGAUGUUGGGUUAAGUCCCGCAACGAGCGCAACCCUGUCCCCUAGUUGGUACGCAAGAGCACUNUAGGGAGACUGCCGGUGACAAACCGGAGGACCCUGGGGACGACGCCCCGUACUCAUGGNCCUUAUGGGUAGGGCUUCACACGUCAUACAAUGGUCGGAACAGAGGGUGCGCAAGCCGCGAGGUGGAGCCAAUCCCAGAAAACCGAUCGUAGUCCGGAUCGCAGUCUGCAACUCGACUGCGUGAAGCUGGAAUCGCUAGUAAUAGCGGAUUAGCAUGCCGCGCGCGAUACGUUCUCGCGUUUGUACACACAGCCCGUCACACGAUGGGAGUGGGUUUAACCAGAGGCGGCUAGUCUAACCUACAGGAGGGGUAGACUUCUCACCUCAUCACGUGUAAAUGUUAA